CAAUGCUUUUAAACUCUCCUGCUGGAUGAAACCUUUAAAAUAUUUUUCAUCUUCUUGCUGUAGCUUUGGGGUCGAGGUGUUUUUUUUUUCUCUCUCUCUCUUUUUUUUUUUAAACUUUUAUUAUUAUUAUUUUUAUUUUGGUUGCGAUCUCGACUUUGAUUUUUUUUUUUUUGUCUCCGCUCUUUUCCCUCCUCCCUUCCCCGAUGAAACCUCUCUUCUCGCUCCGCACUUUGCAUGAGAAAGCCCAGAGGAAAGGCACCAUGAAGUGUUAAAAAUAACAAAACAAAACAACAACAACAACAAAUUUACUCGCGACACCGCCAGCUAACACUUCCAGCUGCCGUUUGCAAGCUGCAAAAGAGAGAGAGAGGAGAGAGCGAGAGAAGGGAGGGAGAGAGGAGCUCAAAAAAAAAAAAAAAAAACCCUUUAUGCAAAAGGCGAAUAGCAGGAGCCCCUCGCUCUGAUGCAUCAGCGGCAGCGGAGACUCUGCAAAGGAUAACGCGGAGCGGGAGCGAGAGCCGCCGGGGCGAAUUGGAGCGGAGGCUGCGAGGGGCCGUGGCGAGAGGCAGAGGCAGGAGAGAGCGGAGCGGAGCUCGCCAAAAAUCAAGCUGGCUCACCCGGUGGCAACUCAGAGCAGUCCCCUCGCUCCCGGAGCGCACCCUUUCUGGAGGACUGUCAGCAGCAAAAGGAUGGCAUCAGAACUGGCAAUGAGCAGCUCCGACCUGCCCACCAGUCCCCUGGCCAUGGAAUAUGUUAAUGACUUCGAUCUGAUGAAGUUUGAAGUGAAAAAGGAGCCGGUGGAGACCGAUCGCAUUAUCAGCCAGUGCGGCCGCUUGAUCGCCGGGGGAUCGCUCUCUUCCACCCCGAUGAGCACGCCCUGCAGCUCGGUGCCCCCGUCCCCCAGCUUCUCGGCGCCCAGCCCCGGCUCCGGCACCGACCAGAAGACCCACCUGGAAGACUACUACUGGAUGACGGGCUACCCGCAGCAGCUCAACCCGGAGGCGCUGGGCUUCAGCCCCGAGGACGCGGUGGAGGCGCUGAUCAACAGCAGCCACCACCCGCUGCCCGGCGCCUUCGAUGGCUAUGCUAGAGGGCAGCAGCUGGCCGCGGCCGCCGGCGCCGGCGGCUCCGUGCCGGCCGAGGAGAUGGGCUCGGCGGCCGCCGUGGUGUCGGCGGUGAUCGCCGCGGCGGCGGCGCAGGGCGGCGCGCCCCACUACCACCACCACCACCACCACCCGCACCACGGCGGCGGCGGCGGCGGCGGCGGCGGGCACCCCCACGCCGCGGCGCCGGGCAGCGCGCCGCCCUCCUCCGCCUCCUCGGCCGCCGGCUCCGGCGGCGGCGGCGGCGGCGGCGGCGGCGGCGGCGGCGCCGGGGGGCUGCACCACCCGCACCACGGCGGCGGCGGCGGCGGCGGCGGCGGCGGCGGCCUCCACUUCGACGACCGCUUCUCCGACGAGCAGCUGGUGACCAUGUCGGUGCGGGAGCUCAACCGGCAGCUGCGGGGCGUCAGCAAGGAAGAGGUGAUCCGGCUGAAGCAGAAGAGGAGGACCCUCAAAAACAGGGGCUAUGCCCAGUCCUGCCGCUUCAAGAGGGUCCAGCAGCGGCACGUCCUGGAGUCCGAGAAGAACCAGCUGCUGCAGCAAGUGGAGCACCUAAAGCAGGAGAUCUCCAGGCUGGUCCGGGAGAGGGACGCCUACAAGGAAAAAUACGAGAAGCUGGUCAGCAAUGGCUUCAGAGAAAACGGAUCCAGCAGCGACAACCCUUCCUCUCCAGAGUUUUUCAUGUACCCGAGAGAAUCGUCUACAACGGUGAUGUGAAAAUCCCUGUUACCUGAGGUCAAAAUAAAAAAAGGACAUAGGAAUAGAAGAUGUGCUGUGGUCAGGACCAGUAAAGACUUUUUUCAACAUCCACUGCAACUUGAGUCCCCCAUAAACAUUCAGGACUCAGCGAGAAUUGUACCCAACUCUUUUUGAUGGAAGCACAGCGGUGACCUUGUUGAUUGAUUAAAGAAGUGACAUUGACUUUGAAGGGAGCCACAUCCACCCUUCUUCUGCCAAAAAGGCAGUGGCUGCAAUGUGAAGCCUCAAGAAUGGGGCAUUGCUCCUCCAAGUACGUGGAAGACAUCCAAAGUCUCCCAGAAGACCUGGAGUGGUGACGCCUGGACGCAGAGGAGAUCACACUGCUUAUAAAUCUGCACCUUGAAGAGGCCAAAAGUUUCUUCAGCAGCAGGAGGUAAGCCAGGACUGCUGGUGGGUGUAAGGAACAGAGAACAAUGCCACAUGCUUUUGAGAAGAUGAAGGCGGUGUUCUUGAGGAUGGAGACUUUGGGGCUGAAUCACGGUCCUGUACAGAAAGCUUGAAGAGAUCUUCAGGUGGGAACACACCACCCAGCCAGCUGCUUGUUUGGUUGAGUCCAUGGACCUCUGGGGUCUGCACACCAGAGACUGAAAACUCUUGACUUAUCCUAAAUUUCCUCUUUGUGGACUUCUGAUGUGAUAGGAAUGGCACAAAAAAUUCAAUAUAUCUGCUUUGCCGUAAUUUUUUCAGCCUGCUAACUUUCCCAGGACUACUUUCUGCUCAAAUUACUGGAAUUUAAUUACAUGAAGCUUAAUUUCAGUUGCUUGGCCAAUUUUAAAAUACAUAUAUUCAAAUUUGAACCACAAGGCAGAAUUUUGGGAGCCUCUUUGUCCUCUCACUUUGUGUUAGUUUAAAUGAAGAAACUGUGCCUGUGAACCUCUGCUUUGUUACACCUAUUCCAAGUCAGUCUCACUUCUGGAGAGACUUCCCAGAGUCUCAGCAGUUUAAGGAGGAGCCCAAACUACCCUUAUGUUAUAGUUUAUGUUUUUGAAACUGUGCAAACAAUAGAUAUUUGUCUCCUGAUUAUGCAUUUUCUUGUAAAUAAAAUGUAUUGAGACCAGA